rnacentral:rRNA from 1 species
UACGUAGGGGGCAAGCGUUGUUCGGAAUUACUGGGCGUAAAGCGCGCGUAGGCGGUUUGGAAAGUCAGAUGUGAAAGCCCCGGGCUCAACUUGGGAACUGCAUUUGAUACUGCCAGACUAGAGUACAGAAGAGGUGACUGGAAUUCCCAGUGUAGCAGUGAAAUGCGUAGAUAUGCGGAGGAACACCGAUGGCGAAGGCAAUCCCCUGGGCCUGCACUGACGCUCAUGCACGAAAGCGUGGGGAGCAAACAGG